AAGUCGUAACAAGGUUUCCGUAGGUGAACCUGCGGAAGGAUCAUUAACAAGUCUGCUGUCUGUUCUUGUACUAGCGUGGAAGGUGUACCCCUUCUGCGUCAAGUGCAAGGAUGACAUUUGUUCCAUGUUGCACGUUUACUCUGCACAUGACAUUCUACGAAUCAUCUGAUUAUUGACAAUGUUCAUAAACAAAUAACUUUUAACAAUGGAUCUCUAGGCUCCU
rnacentral:misc_RNA from 1 species